UACGGAGGGAGCUAGCGUUGUUCGGAAUUACUGGGCGUAAAGCGCGCGUAGGCGGCUUUGUAAGUUAGAGGUGAAAGCCCGGGGCUCAACCCCGGAACAGCCUUUAAGACUGCAUCGCUAGAAUCCGGGAGAGGUGAGUGGAAUUCCGAGUGUAGAGGUGAAAUUCGUAGAUAUUCGGAAGGAACACCAGUGGCGAAGGCGGCU
rnacentral:rRNA from 1 species